ACCCCUGAGCGGUGGAUGGGGGCCAUAAAUAAAAAUUGGGGGAGACCUAAUGUCCCCCCCACAUUAGGUCCCCCCAAUUUUUAUUUAUUGCCCCCACCUACCGCUCAUUGGUGGGGGCCG